UACGAAGGGGGCUAGCGUUGCUCGGAAUCACUGGGCGUAAAGGGUGCGUAGGCGGGUCUUUAAGUCAGGGGUGAAAUCCUGGAGCUCAACUCCAGAACUGCCUUUGAUACUGAGGAUCUUGAGUUCGGGAGAGGUGAGUGGAACUGCGAGUGUAGAGGUGAAAUUCGUAGAUAUUCGCAAGAACACCAGUGGCGAAGGCGACUACCUGGCCCAUUCUUGACGCUGAGGCGCGAAAGCUAGGGGAGCGAACGGG
rnacentral:rRNA from 1 species